CUACCGGAGCACGACGGAGGCGAGGAAGCUGAGCACGGCGACGGCGCUGACGACGGAGCAGCACAGGUCGACGAGCACCUCUCGCCUCGCCUUGGACUCCUUCCUCCCCCUCUUGCUCCUCACGAACUCCUCGUACCUCCUCUUGGCCUCCUCUCUUUCUUUGUCCCCUCCUUUGCUCCUCGGCCCCUCCAUCGCGGCCUCCAAAAGCCGCAGGCUGCCUUCGCCGCUCACCGCCGCGCCGUCGGCGUCCUCGACGCUCAGGCUGACCUCCCUGAGGCUAAGGCACCCGGCCUCCUCUGA
rnacentral:rRNA from 1 species